GUCACAUAACCGCUCCACUAUAUGUGGACAUGAUUGAAUGGUCGAUACUAGUAAUUACCAGGCAGUGAUUUUCGUGUGUUUUUCAUUGAAUUUUUGUUGUCUACAAUACCCCUGCCAACACAAGUACUACUGGAUCUUAGCAUCUAAUUUUGUCUGAAGGAGAGCAGCAAUGUUUAAUGAGACUUUGAUGAAGAUUCAUGAAAAUGUUUUAUUCGAAAGUCACAAGCAAUAAUCUCUUUUUGUGUAAACAAAGUUCCUUAAAGUGCCUUCCUUAUUAAAGCCAAUUGAAAGUGAUUCAGUUAAUUAAUUUUCAUAGAAGCAUCUAUAAGACGUGUAUGAUUUGAUCAAUGAUGAAUAAUGAUCAGCAACAAUUAGCAGUUUUUUUUUAACUUUUACAAGUAGGCCAAUAGAAAAGCUACUCGUACAUGACAAUUAGAAUUUUUUAUCUCCCUAUCUUUUUUAAGGAUUUCUGUAGAAUCUUUGUCAUUCUGUUCCUCAUUUUAAACACUUUUGAAUUAAAUGUAAUUAAAAGAAUAAACUACCCAUUCAUGGUAACUCUUCAACACAAUCUUUCAACUUCCAUGCAGAUUCAGCAACACCACUGCAUGGAAUAAGAGACAGUAAGAUUUCAUUUGAAUGCUACGAGGAUGAACCUUUCAGAGUCGGGUACCACCAGAGAGGAACGACACAUUGCCUGUACCUUUUAGAAUAUGCAUGCAGAAGAAGCAACUAUAUCACAGUCAUCCGUGUGCAGAAUCAUCAACGAUUUUUCUGAGGCAAUAGCAAGAAGUAACAGACAGUUAAUGAACGAGAAAUUGAAACCACCCAGCGACAAUUUGAUGAUUGCUGCAUGUUUCCAAGAGUCUUAGGUGAUAUCGAUUGGGGCCAUGUCUACAUCAGGAGUCCUGGUGGGGAACAAGCCCUGUACUUAACAGGAAGAACAGGUCCUCUGUAAAUGUAUAGGUAUCCGUUGCUCCCCUCUUUGAUGAAUUCCUGCCAGCAUUCUGUUGUCAAUAAAAAAGGACGGUGUGUUACGGGUAUUAAGCAUUCCAUUGGAUUAUUUAUGCAUAAAAGUGGAUACUUGUGAUAAAAAAUGGUAGCUUAGUUGAUAGGAUGUUUUCAUGCAUUCCAGUUUAUUAUUAGUGAUCAAAUGACCAUCUUGCUUUUUAAAACCAAAAUUCACAAUAUUUUUCUUGUUUGAAAAAACGUUUGGGACUUCUGGGAAUUCCAGGAUAUAAAUGACACACAUGGUGGGCUAAUGUAUAAGCAGGGACGUGAGAGGUAUAAGCAACAUUUUUCUCAUGCUUAACUAAGUUUGGCAUGAGAUGGACUUGGUAAUUCUUAUGAUUCGUGUCUAUUGUAUACCCAUUUUUUUUUAAUCAACAAUCAAUGUUUGAAGCCUCAUGAUUUUAAUUUCAAAACCUCUUUGUUCAUUAAACGGUCAUUUUUCUUAGCGUAUGCAGCUCCAUAAUUUAUCAAAUUUAAAUUAUAUAAUAUCAUUUUUGCUGAAUAUCUUUUUUCUUUCCACCUAUUUCCAUAGGCACUAAGUUACAUUUUUGUAGUAAGCACUAUAUACAUUGCAAGCUAUUAUCAUUUGUUUAAUAUUACUAUUUUAUGAUAGAAUCAUUAUUUAAUUUCUUUCAGAAAUAUAUUUGACGUAUUACUUGUGAUAUUCAUGCUCUAGCUGUAGAGCUUAAUACCUUUCAUUAAACUUUUUUUUAUCCAUUAUAUAUCUAUUCUUAUUCAGAGUUUUUGAUGCAUUGUUAAGAAAACGUAAACAGUCAAUUCAAUCUUCGUAUCAUUAUGUAAAGAAUUUCAAUCUACUCUAAAAAAUAAUGUACGAAAUAAACUGCUCUGUCUACUACACAUGUACGGUUACACUUCGUAAUUCCGAAGGUUCGUAAUUCCGAAGGUUCUUUAUUCCGAAGGUUCGUAAUUCCGAAACACGCAAAUUGCCUAUACCUCGAUGUUCGUUAAUCCGAAAACGUAAAAGGGUUCGUUAAUCCGAACAUUUGUGGCGUUAUUCCGAAGGUUCGUUAUUCCGAAGGUUCGAUAAUCCGAAAACGAAAUAA